rnacentral:rRNA from 1 species
UACGAAGGGUGCAAGCGUUACUCGGAAUUACUGGGCGUAAAGCGUGCGUAGGCGGUUUGUUAAGUCUGUCGUGAAAGCCCUGGGCUCAACCUGGGAAUUGCGAUGGAUACUGGCAAGCUAGAGUACGGUAGAGGAUGGUGGAAUUCCCGGUGUAGCGGUGAAAUGCGUAGAGAUCGGGAGGAACACCCGUGGCGAAGGCGGCCAUCUGGACCAGUACUGACGCUGAGGCACGGAAAGCGUGGGGAGCAAACAGG